GAUGAACGCUGGCGGCGUGCCUAAUACAUGCAAGUCGAGCGAACGGACGAGAAGCUUGCUUCUCUGAUGUUAGCGGCGGACGGGUGAGUAACACGUGGAUAACCUACCUAUAAGACUGGGAUAACUUCGGGAAACCGGAGCUAAUACCGGAUAAUAUUUUGAACCGCAUGGUUCAAAAGUGAAAGACGGUCUUGCUGUCACUUAUAGAUGGAUCCGCGCUGCAUUAGCUAGUUGGUAAGGUAACGGCUUACCAAGGCAACGAUGCAUAGCCGACCUGAGAGGGUGAUCGGCCACACUGGAACUGAGACACGGUCCAGACUCCUACGGGAGGCAGCAGUAGGGAAUCUUCCGCAAUGGGCGAAAGCCUGACGGAGCAACGCCGCGUGAGUGAUGAAGGUCUUCGGAUCGUAAAACUCUGUUAUUAGGGAAGAACAUAUGUGUAAGUAACUGUGCACAUCUUGACGGUACCUAAUCAGAAAGCCACGGCUAACUACGUGCCAGCAGCCGCGGUAAUACGUAGGUGGCAAGCGUUAUCCGGAAUUAUUGGGCGUAAAGCGCGCGUAGGCGGUUUUUUAAGUCUGAUGUGAAAGCCCACGGCUCAACCGUGGAGGGUCAUUGGAAACUGGAAAACUUGAGUGCAGAAGAGGAAAGUGGAAUUCCAUGUGUAGCGGUGAAAUGCUCAGAGAUAUGGAGGAACACCAGUGGCGAAGGCGACUUUCUGGUCUGUAACUGACGCUGAUGUGCGAAAGCGUGGGGAUCAAACAGGAUUAGAUACCCUGGUAGUCCACGCCGUAAACGAUGAGUGCUAAGUGUUAGGGGGUUUCCGCCCCUUAGUGCUGCAGCUAACGCAUUAAGCACUCCGCCUGGGGAGUACGACCGCAAGGUCGAAACUCAAAGGAAUUGACGGGGACCCGCACAAGCGGUGGAGCAUGUGGUUUAAUUCGAAGCAACGCGAAGAACCUUACCAAAUCUUGACAUCCUUUGACAACUCUAGAGAUAGAGCCUUCCCCUUCGGGGGACAAAGUGACAGGUGGUGCAUGGUUGUCGUCAGCUCGUGUCGUGAGAUGUUGGGUUAAGUCCCGCAACGAGCGCAACCCUUAAGCUUAGUUGCCAUCAUUAAGUUGGGCACUCUAAGUUGACUGCCGGUGACAAACCGGAGGAAGGUGGGGAUGACGUCAAAUCAUCAUGCCCCUUAUGAUUUGGGCUACACACGUGCUACAAUGGACAAUACAAAGGGCAGCGAAACCGCGAGGUCAAGCAAAUCCCAUAAAGUUGUUCUCAGUUCGGAUUGUAGUCUGCAACUCGACUACAUGAAGCUGGAAUCGCUAGUAAUCGUAGAUCAGCAUGCUACGGUGAAUACGUUCCCGGGUCU
rnacentral:rRNA from 1 species